rnacentral:tRNA from 1 species
GAUAUAUAUAUAUAUAUAUAUAUAUACCUUAUAUAAUACUAAUUUUUAAUAAUUAUGAAA